rnacentral:miRNA from 1 species
UAGAGGGGAGGUGACCGUGGAAGU